UUGUCCGGAGUGGGUGACAGAUUUACGGGCUGCUCGGACGACGAAAUCAAGAACCCCAUUCUUACAAUUGUCAUCUUGAAAAGAUUUCUUAUUGCUUUAUUUUUCGCAUCUGAACGGGAAUUUAGAAACGACAUUUACAACCUAGAAAGCUUCGUUUUAAUCUCAGGUGUGAGUGGACAGCUGUUUGUACAGCUUCGGUUAUAUCGCUCGCUUUCUAGUUUGUCCCGUCGCCGUAGUAGAUCUCGAUACAACGUAUUUGUUUUGAAGAAGUGUAAAACACACGAAAAAGACACACGUCGCGUUGAAAGGACAAGAAGCAGGUCGAGGAACAGUCGAAGUGAAGAUGGCAUCCUUUCUGGACGAUUAAAUGUUAACUUUGUUAAACUGCGGCAUGUGCGCGCCGAUGAAAGAGUCACAGAAAUCUGCGAAGUCCAAGUUUGAUCGACGGACGGACUUUUCAUAGAAACACACGCAUUUACUUUUAACUUUGGUGGCACCGGAACAGGAAGAUGAAGUAAGCAAACUGGUGACCUCGCUUUCCCUGCGCUCCGGUCUGUGACCUCCGGCUUCCCAGCUCUUGUCCCAGAACAUCCAGAUGUCCCAGGAACACGCUUCCUCCUGGGAGGACCCCAGAUGAAGUUCUCUGGCGGGUGGUAGUGGCGCUG